rnacentral:rRNA from 1 species
GAGAUGGCGUCGCCCUUCGGGGCCGCUGUGGAGGUGCUGCAUGGCUGUCGUCAGCUCGUGUGUGAGAUGUUGGGUUAAGUCCCGCAACGAGCGCAACCCUUGCUCAUAGUUGCCAGCGGUUCGGCCGGGCACUCUAUGGGGACUGCCGGUGAUAAACCGGAGGAAGGUGGGGAUGACGUCAAGUCCUCAUGGCCUUUAUGUCUAGGGCUACACACGUGCUACAAUGGACGGUACAAAGAGUUGCGAUCCCGCGAGGGGGAGCUAAUCUCAAAAAGCCGUCUCAGUUCGGAUUGCACUCUGCAACUCGAGUGCAUGAAGGUGGAAUCGCUAGUAAUCGCGGAUCAGCAUGCCGCGGUGAAUACGUUCCCGGGCCUU